rnacentral:rRNA from 1 species
AGGAAUAUUGGUCAAUGGACGGAAGUCUGAACCAGCCAAGUAGCGUGCAGGAUGACGGCCCUAUGGGUUGUAAACUGCUUUUGUAUGGGGAUAAAGUUAGGGACGUGUCCCUAUUUGCAGGUACCAUACGAAUAAGGACCGGCUAAUUCCGUGCCAGCAGCCGCGGUAAUACGGAAGGUCCAGGCGUUAUCCGGAUUUAUUGGGUUUAAAGGGAGCGUAGGCUGGAGAUUAAGUGUGUUGUGAAAUGUAGACGCUCAACGUCUGAAUUGCAGCGCAUACUGGUUUCCUUGAGUACGCACAACGUUGGCGGAAUUCGUCGUGUAGCGGUGAAAUGCUUAGAUAUGACGAAGAACUCCGAUUGCGAAGGCAGCUGACGGGAGCGCAACUGACGCUUAAGCUCGAAGGUGCGGGUAUCAAA